AUCUGCAAGUUAUCUGAGUAUUUGCACACUCUGUUUACUCACAAACUUUACAUUAGAAAACACUAUGAUAUAUUACAGUGGCAGAAAGACUAAUAAGUCAUUUUGGGGUUUACAAGUUCAUGAGAAAAUAGAAUAUAUUUUACAGUAUUUACUUUUAGAAGUGUUUAAAUUCUAAGAUUUUUUUUUUCUGGAUAAAAUUCAUAACUUUAUCACCAAACUUCCUAACUUGGUACAAAAGAAGAGUAGGAUUAAAGUCAGUUUUACCUUCAGGAAUGGUUACCUUUAAUCAAAGAUUAAUCAAAGACAUGCUUUUAUACUAAGUAUUAUUUUAAAAGAAAAACUAGAAAUAUAGAUGUUUAUUCACCAAAAAUAUACAUCUUUACAGUCCAAUCAUAUGAUUUUGUGAUCUUUAAACUACAACAGGACUAAUCAUGAGCUGAAAAUUAUUCAAGAGAUUAAGCACCUCACUGUAUUUGGCUUAAGGAAACAGAUCGAUCUCUCUCUCUUAUUUUAAAAAAUACAUACUUUUAAGCCACAAGUCAAUUUCCCUACAUUUUAUUGUUGUAUAACUAUACAGUUGUUGUGUAACUAUACAAGUAGAACUUUUUUUUUGUCUUUUCAGAAGUGAACCAAAUAUUCCUGCAAAAUCAUUUUUAUAAUGAAUUGUUCUUCUUGUCACUCAGCAUUAAUUUUUCAUUUUCAUUUUCAUUUCACAUUUUCAUUUAAAUACUAUAGCAAUGCUGAAAUAUACACAAAGGUUCUUACUAGUCUUGUAAUAUAUGUUGAUUUAUAUCUUUUUUGUUUGUUUAAUUCAGAAAAGUGCACCAUUUCAAAAUAUAUUUUGACUACAUGACUAAACAAGACAAGACAAGAGCCAAAAGGAAGUUAACACCUCAACAAAUCCCUCCAGAUCACAGCAGUGAAUUAGUGAAUCUAAUGAAGUAUCAAAGUAAUAACUGCUCAGCAAAUUGUGCCGUGGAAAUGAAGAAAAUAGUCGUCCUGGAUUAUUUUAUACCACUUCACCUGAGAGGAUCAUCUCUAUACCCACAAAUAAUUUUUCAGCAGGAUAUCAUAUUUCAUUGAUGUAUUUCUAAGUGUGCAGUAUAAAGGAAAUUAUCAGAAAUAAAAAGUUACAAAAGGGCA
rnacentral:lncRNA from 1 species